CUUCAUUUGGGGGCUCAGUCCUUAUUGAUGUAUGCAAUUAAUUGUAACUAAUUUGAUUAAUUAAUUGGCAUAUCAUGUUUCUAAUUUAAUUACAAUUUUAAUAGUUUAGCCUUAUUUUAUUUAUUAUUUUUUUUUUUACUUUUUUUUUUUUUACUUUCAGACAAGGUUUUAUCAAGCCAACAUCAAAGUUUGUCUUGAUGAACUUUCCUUUUCUAGACUGAUUUUGAAGCUCUCCUCUGAUGUGAAGUGGGGCAUCGGCAGCAGUGUGUGGCAGACAGGAGAGGCCUUGCUUACUUUGGAGAGGCACAUGUCUGGGAAAGCUUAUCUGGGCAAGUUUGCGAGAUACUGCAGUUGCAAGAUGCUUCUUCCCCCAUGGAGCAUCAGCAUGGCACUGCAGGGGGAGCAUCAGGCGUGUUCGGCUAGAAUGUACCAACAUGUUUUUGCAGAUCAGGGAAGAGAGCAAGGAAAGGAGCACAGAGCCAAGGUGUGUUGAUGGAGCUGCAAUCCUGACCAUCCCCUGGGCAGUGCGCGGAGUUACAGUUACAUGGACGAGGAGUGUGUGCGAGAUCAAAUAUUCACUUGCGAAAAGUCCGCAGAGGCUUCAGCCUCCUCCCAUUAAUAUCAGCUUCCGUCUGGAUUUAGUCAGCCAAACCCAGUGGGAGGAAAUCGUCUGUCAUCAGAAGCGUACACGUGUGCACUUACAUAUACAAUCACACACACUGUUGCAGUGCAAUGCAAGGAGAGGCAUGCAGCGCACAAUGUCGAUUUUAGAAUUUGGUACUUUUGGAAUUUUAUACGUGUGAUAUCAUUCAGCCAACAAGUGUAGAAGACCGUGAGAAAAUUCUGAGUGGUGUAAGAAUGAAGCCUGGCCUUGCCCCCUCCCGUCCCUAAAUCAGUGGAUUAAGGUUUGCCUGUUUGGCCUUAAAGUCGCCAAUUAAUCGAAAUGGACAAUUCUUUUUUUUUAUGGAAUAUUGCAGUUUUUAUUAUAAAUUUCAGACCUUCAUUGUGACAUUCAAUCCUGCUCAGCUACUUCAGGAUGGAGAGGUGAGAGAGCAAGAAAAGAAAAAAAAAAAAAAAAAACCAGAGAAAACUAGUAACCAUGUGACAGCUUUGUUAUGUUUUGAAAUCCUCUCUUAUGCUUCCUUUCUUGCUUUCAUCCAUGACUCCCUUGCUUUUACCAGCACAGUCCAAUAUACAGGCAAACAAACACACACAUUCGCAGGUACAAGUACUCACUAUACAGCCUAGGGCAGGCAAAGGGGUGUAUUGGGUUUCGCCUGUCUGAAAAAUAGCCUGUUUACUUAUAGAAUACUUCAGACAUCAGACAAAAACUGUGAUGGAUGAGAAAGACAGUAGCCUUGCCUUACACAUACAGCAGUCUCUGUAAGACACAUACCUUCCAGACAAACAGAACAGAGACAUUAUUUCAUAGCGCUUACUCACUCCAGUCUUCAGACCAUUGAAUAAAUAGGGUUUCUGAUCCA
ensembl:lncRNA